GAUAGUGCAAGAGAGCUUUCUUCAGUCCACUCAUGGAAGGGCAAAGGGUUUGGAUUAGCUGCCGACUCAUUCACUCAAACACGGUAGAGAAAACGGAAGGAAUUUCUGCCGCGAAUGUGUGAAUGAUUCGGGAGAUAAAUUUCAUCCUUUUCUUUUCUGUGCUUGGACUGAAGGGAGCUCCCUUUACUGUCUUC
rnacentral:pre_miRNA from 1 species